AUUGCAGUGUUAAAUGUAAGGUUACCAUUCAUCAAUUUACUAAGAGUCACAGCAUGUUGAAUCUCUCUGGUGUGCUUGUUUCAUGGUUCUCAGAACAACCAGUCUUUUCUUUCUGGACCAGUUUGAAGCAACUCUCAAGAAACAAGCUGUUUUAUUGGAGCCAAACCUCACUAAUAGAGGUCCUGGAUGGAAGCAUAUACUUAAAGUUACACCUGCUUAAUUUUUUCCAUCAGGCUCUUCAGAUUGUCACUCCAUGCAUGACUCAAAGCCCACCCUCCCAUCACACUUCCCCCCAUUACAUAUACAUAUAUAGCAUAACAUAUACAUAUGUAGCAUAUGUAUAUGUAAAUAAAUUAGAUUUUCUUGCACCUGUUAUGUAUGUUCACUGGUUUGUAAGGGGCCUAGGUAGUAUGUGAUAUAACUUAUUGGGCACACUUUUGAAGUGUGUUUCGGCUUCACUGUAUUCUUUGCAUUCUAUUCUCUUUAUGCUCCACAUAUUGGUUAUCAUUUCUUCUCCUUUUUGUUACAAAAGCAGUAUAACAUUUUUAAGAGAAAUUCAACAACAAAAAAAUCUGAUUCUAUUUGCUUAGAUAAAUUCUAAUCUAAUUCCAAGUCUAAUUCUAUUAGAAUUAGAAAAAUCUAAAUCUAAUUCCAAUCUAGUUAUCUUUUUAUGGAAUGUCUUCCUAUGGACAUGUUAUUUAAAAUUUGAAAGAAUGGAAAGCUGCCCAUCAAAUGCUUAACAAAAGUGAAAUGUUUAAUUUUGGCAAGGCAUAGAAUAGAAUAUUUAAUGACAUGUCAUUUAAUAAUAGUAAUAUAAAUAAUAGUUUUGUUGAUUUGACAAGAUUGUGGGAAAUGACUUUUUCCCUUCCCUCUGUAAUUUAAAAUUUUAUGCAAUGUAAAGAAUUUAAAAAUAAUCAGUUGUCGAGCUUGAUGAUUCUUUUAGUUUUUUUUCUCUUUGGUGUUGACCCCAUGUAUAUCUUUUUUUCCCCCUUUUGGAGACAGGGUCUCACUCUCACCUGGGCUGGAGUGCAGUGGCAUGAUCUCGUCUCAUUGCAACCUCCACUUCCUGGGCUCAAGCCACCUCAGUCUCAUGAGUAGCUGAGAUUACAGGUGCACACCACCAUGCCUGGCUAAUUUUUAAAAUUGUUUUUUGUAGAGACAGGGUCUCCCUCUGUUGCUCAGGCUGUUCUUGAACUCCUGGGCUCAAGCAGGCCACCCAUCUCGGCCUCCCAAAGUGUUGGGAUUAUAGACAUCAGACAUGGUGCCCUGCUUCAUCCUCUUUAAGUUUUUAUCAGUUUUCUGGUAUGAGUAUGAUACUUUUUCCCAAUUUUUAACCAAAACCUGAAAGUUCUUCUAUUGCCAUAUUGGUGGCCAUUGCCACCUCCUUUAUAGAGGAAGUCAGUGUGCCAACCUCAUUAUCAGAAGUUGGAUUUGUGCUAGGAUAGAAUUUGACCACACUGAAAAUCACAAAUGAGUUCUAACUACUAUUAAGGAAAAGAACAGGAAAAAGUAUUGGCAGGGUAAAAUAUAUCUGAAACAGUUCUUUAAUAAUAGGGGUGGCUAUUAUUAGAUUGGUUGGGGUGGGAGAAAUGGGGGUGAAAAACAAAAAAGCUAGCAAGAGAAAAACUCAGAGAAAGAAUUGAAGUAGGCUUCUUUAAAACGUUUCUUAACUGGGAAGCUUGAAGAAAAAUGGAAGAAUCUGCCGACAGGUCACAUACAUACUGUUGUUCAUUAGAACCUCAUUAUAAAUUUUCAUUUUUAAAUAGAUUUUACAUGGAUUUAGGCAUACUAAUCAAAUCACAUCCCCUUCAUAAGAAUAACAAGUUUUGCCCUUUGAACAAUCUGUUUAUACUUAAUAUAAAAUUGGCAGCUGGGAUGGUGUGGUAGGUGUGCAGCCUCUGAUAAAUCUUAUAAAAUGAGUAUUGUGGAAUGCCAUAAAGUUGAUUUAGUAAAUGUCUUUUUUAGCAGUUUAUAGCUGAAUAAAGCAGAUUUUACCUAAAAUUAUUUUAAAGCAAGUAAAUUUAAUUAAAAUGAAAAAAGCUUGUUACACUAAUACUGCUACGAUGUGUGGUGACAUAAAUGCUGUUGGAGUGAAGGAUGUUGGGGUACUUUAGACAACGGGCUGAAGAAUACAUAGGUGCUGUCAUAGAUAUUUAUCUCCAGGCCUUCACUAGCUUCAAAUGGUUCAAUGUUGGUGAGGAUUAAGAUUUUGGGGCUCAUAGUCUUCAAAGCAUGCUAAGUGCUACUGUGAUGUUGAAUCACAUGAAUUAAAGCAAACAGCAUUACUAAAGAUGACAAAUUAAUAGAAGUUAGCUUUUCUUGGGCAUGUUUUUUCUUAGGUAGUUUCUGAUUUUAUUGGAAUGAUUACGAUAAUAUCCCCCUACCCCCCAGAACCUUAUUUGAAUUGCAGAACCAGAGCACGGAAAAUGACCUUCAAUGGAUUUUGUUGAUGUCAUUCAGCAUACUUUCAUUGAAUAACUACUCUUGACCAAAGUGCUGGUUUUAGGGGUAAAUACAAAGAGAGAUGGCUCUUGCUCUCUCAGCCUUUGAAGUAUUACAGGAAAGAACUUGAACAAUAAUUAUUAAGAUACAUAAUAAAGUGCUAUGGUAGAGGUACGUGCCAGGGAUUAUGGGAAUAGAGGGAGUGGGCUGGUUAUUUAGACUAAUCUGACUGCUGACAUGUACUGAUUUAGGCCUUUUAAAGAGUUUUUCAUGAACAAAGAUGUAGAAUUUAUAUUGUUAUUUGUUUAAAACCUGUAAGGAGAUUUGGUUAGUUAAAAAAUUCCCAAUAUCUUUGUAAUGCAGAAUGACAUGGAACCUAGCAAAGCUGUUCCACUGAAUGCAUCUAAGCAAGAUGGACCUAUGCCAAAACCACACAGUGUUUCACUUAAUGAUACCGAAACAAGGAAACUAAUGGAAGAGUGUAAAAGACUUCAGGGAGAAAUGAUGAAGCUAUCAGAAGAAAAUCGGCACCUGAGAGUAAGUUCUGUUGGUUGAAAAUAAAUUGAUUGAAAUGAAGGUAUAGGACAUGUGAGUGUUAUUAGGCCAUUUUAGCAAUUAGCUUUUAAAUUUUUCCUUGGUCAGUUCUUUCUUCUUUUCCCCAGUGCCUUUGCUCCCCACCCUACUCCUCUUUUAACAGUCUUCCCGUGGUUUCUCAUUGCUGCAAGUUCCUUACUUUAGCACACAUUCUAAUUAUUUGUGAUCUGGCCUGCAGCAUUGCCAGCUUCUGCUCUUGUUUCUCAUGUCCUUCCCAUUUUAUGCCCUAGUCAUACUGAACUGCCUAGGAUUGUGUUGUCCCACAUCAUAGCCAUUAGUCACCUAGGGCUGAUGAGCACUGAAAUGGGAUUUGUUCAAAUUGAGCUGUGCUGUUGAGUGUAAAAUACUGAUGUUGAAGAGUUAGUACAGAAAAAGGUAAAAUCUUUUUUUUUUAUGGUUACAUACUGAAAUAGUAGUUUGGGUAUAUUGGGUUGAAUCAAAUAUAUUAUUAAAAUGAAUUUUACCCAUUUCUUUUUACUUUUUAAAUGUACUGUUGGAAAAUUUAACUUUACAUACGGGGCUCACAUUUGAAGCUCACAUUGUAUUUGCGUGGGGCAGCAUUGGGCUGGAGUAUGCUGGAGAAGCAUCUGUUUAUCACCCCUCUUUGCUUUAGUGUAAGCUCUUCACUGUGACUGGAAAGGCCCAGAACCCUGCCCCUCCCGACACAGCACAUACACACAUUGACGUUUUGCUACUACAGUAUAUAGCCUUUGCUGGGACCCUCUCC
rnacentral:sRNA from 1 species